UCUCAGUGGUUCCACAGAGAAGUAAGAUGUCACACGGCUAGUAGCAGCUUGCCUGGUGGAGCGAUGCAUGCCCACUAGUAACCGUGCGUUUUACACACACUGAUACACAUCGACACACACACACACACACACACACACACAUAUAAACACGCACGCAUACACACGCGCGCGUACACGCGCACAAACGUUUACUGUUAUGCAGGAAGAAGCGAUCCAGUCAAAAGCUUACAGGUGGAGAUAGAUAGAGAGCAAGAAAGAGAGAGAGAGAGAGAAAGAAAGAAAGAAAGAGAGGAGGGAGAGAGUGAAGGAGAGAAAGAGAGAGAGAAAGCAACAAUAAAACCUGGCGCAGUCGCAGAUACAUUUACCUGGCUGAAGAAUACAAACGCAAGCCUAUACCUUACCUGUUUUCUUUCUCUUCUUUCUUUGUAACACCCCCUCCUCCUCCCUCUAGAAUUGCUAUUUCACCUGAGAAAAGACUUUCAGUUCAAUGGACAGGCAGAAAACCUGUGUAGUUGCAGACAUACCUACCUUAUUCUACAACAGGUCCUUAUUUAAUUUUGUAUUAUUUAAAAACAAAAGUUUUUACCGAUUCUCCCCCACCCAAUGGUCCUUUCCUGUGAUGUUUUACUAACACACCUGUGUUACACCUGUGUUAGAAUGAAAAGAAAUCAAAUUCUGGCACUCCAGCAUAUAAUUCUAUUUAAACAUUUACCUUGAUAUUCUAAUAUCGCAUUCAUUUCUAUCUUAUAUCAAUCUUCCGUGAUUUUGCUAUUACACAAGAGUUACACCUGUGAUACACCUGUGAUAUACCUAUGAGUUAGACCUGGAUAAACUGGAAGGAGAAUCUGGAAAUUAUAUUCGGAAAUGGACUACACUUACAUAAACAACAACAACAUUAUAGGGAAUCAACAACCACAUUAACAACACCAAUAAUAACUUUUCCAGCAAUAAUAUAAACAACAACACUAAAAAAGGGGGGAAACUAAAACCACGCUUAAAGGGAAAAACUAAGCCGUGCACACACACACACACACACAUACACACGCAUUCAUAAAAUAGAACUCUAGCUAUAUAGAUAUUUAAUAUAGGGGGGGAAAUAAUAAAUUGGAGGGGGACGGGGACAAGGAAGCGAGGGAUUAUGGAUUUAUGCUUUGAUUAAAAGAAAGACAACAAAGAAAUAGAAAUACGCUGAUGUCUAGGGCGAUAUUGGUUAAUAUUAGCCUAGAUACACGAGGAUAGAUUAAUGUAGUAUGUGGUGGGUCUGUGAAAGAGGGGUCCAUCACUGAUCCAGAGACACAUCUCACUCUUUCACACACACGCGCGCACACACACUCACAUAUAUUUCUAUGUUUGUGUACUUCGGAUUUACUUCUUUCUUAACUUAGAAGACGUCAGCGUUACUACUACUAAUAAUGAUAAAUAUCUCCUCCAGCAUUAAGCACUGAAUAGUCAACAAGACAGCCUCUGCGAGGUGUCUCGACCUGCAAGAAAUAGCAGCGAAAUCCCCUCAUGUAUAGGAGGACGCAGCGCACCGAAUAUUCCCGAGGCAUAGGUAGCUAUUUCUGAAACAGCUUUGAUCAUAGCUUAUAGGACUUACCUAGGGCUAAAUAACAACACCCACUACGAAGAGUAUUAUCAUUACUAAUAACAACAAACUCCAAAACUGUUGCUAAUACCAACACCAUCGAGAAUUAUUGCUACUACUACUACUACUACUAAUUCAUUUUAAAAUAAACUUUCUUGUCCCUUGUGGCUAAUAAAAGUUAAAACAGUACAAAGGCGAAAUACCUGAAUAACGAGGAGUAGGGUAGAACAACAACAACAACAACAACAACAAUAAUAAUAAUAAUAAUAAUAUAGGAUAGAGGCCAUAACAAUAUAAGACGUUAUUCUUAAUCAUAAUUAAAAUUUCUUUUAAUCAAAUACCGCCAGGUUGACAGGUGAGAUUAUAAUUACGAAACUGGCGAGUUUACGCCGAAAGAAAACAAAUAAUUAGGGGAAUUAUUUUGAAUUUUAAUUAAUGUUUAACUAACAGACCACCUUCAGUAUAAUUAUAUAUUAUACACUCAAACGAACUUAUAUGGUUGCAUAGAAUCAAAAACAUCAUAUAUUAUAUACACACCUGGACACACCUGUACUGUGACGCACCUAUAUACAUAUGCACAUACGUAGAUGUAUACAUAGAUAUACACACAUUCACAAACAAGAAUAUUUUUAUAUACAUAUAAAAUAUACACACAUACAUCGUUUAUACAAACGAUGAUUUGCAGAUAUCAAAGUGAAGCAAUUAUUUUAUUACGUGAGAAGUGAAACGGUUGUUUGGAUUGUAAUUAAAGAAACUCAGUAAAUUCACCGCCGUUGCUAGCCAAACUUGGAGAAGCGAAAGAUGGAUGAGAAGAGAUAAAAAAGAAUGUGAACCUAUUAAACAGAAUGCAAUUUAUGUAUUGCUACAACCACUGGCUUCCGUUGCAAGGGAAAGCAUUCCAAUUUUCUGGUCGAUUCGAAGCAAGCCAGUGUCAAACGACGUCUCGACAUAUUUAUUGAUCUUUAUUAAUCUGUCUAUAACGGAUAUGGAUUCCAAGAGCUUAAGGUGAAUCACAGGUCUGUUGCUACAUUGACGAAAGCAUCAACUUACGAUUCUAUUUCAAUGUCCUCUGUGAUGUGAUUAUUACAUCGACGUAUUGAUUCCGCAGUUAUAUCUAAACUUUGAGAAUAAUUACAACAACGGUUCAAGGUUCGCCAAAAAAUAUGAACCAAUAAACAAGGAAUUUACUAGUAAUAUCAACAUUCUCCUACACAUAUAUAAGAAAUCAACGGAAUCCACCAACUUACGUCAGAUAAAACAUAAAAUGUAAACAAAUAAGACGAAAUCGACGACAACAAUCAGUGAAAUUCUAAAAUUAUUUGUCUUUUGCGAGUAUAUGGUGAUUAAUGAGAUAUAAGAAACACUCACAGCAUUUUUAUGAGAGUUUACCAGAUUUUACGAGAGUUCACCAGUUUGCAUAAAAGCUCACGGGAUUUUACCAAACUUCACGAAAUUUUACAAUAUUUCACGAGAUUUUGCAAGAGUUCACGAGAGUUUCCUCAGUUAAUUAUCUAAUAUCAACACAAUGGGUGAUAUGGUCAGUAGCUGUUUAAAAACUGUCGGUCUUGAACCAGUUGAGGCGAAAUCGGUGCAGUAUAACCGGAAACGGAAGCAAAGUGUUCAAGUAACUGAAUAUAUGAAAACGAAACGCCACAACGAACUCGAGAAAUACUACCGUGAUAAGUAUGCUCCUCGACGGCAGUCGUCGCCUUGUAUCAACCAAUUAACACUUGACAUUCCUGUACCCACAGAGCAGGUACGGAGGUCUUCGAUGAACUUCUAAGAAUAACAAAAAAAGUUAUUUUGUAUGUUCACCUCGGAACAAGUGACACAAAGUUUUGUGAGCAAUGUUAAUUGAUGAACAAGCUCCAGUCACUGUUUUCAUUUGGAAACAAGUGUUAAAUUUUGGUCGAAAAUCUCUCGUCAUUGAGCAUAUAAUUUCACCUCGAGUUAUGACCGUCAAGAAAUAGCAAAAGUAUAUUCAAAUAUGCAUAUGUUCAUAUAAUAACGCAUACGUUUAUAUACAUCCAUACACAUACAAAUAUACAUACAUCUACAUAUGUACAUUAUAUAUAUAUAUAUAUAUGAUAUAUAUAUAUAAAUUGUCAAAUAUGUGUAUUUAAUACUGAUGCACAAUACAAUCUUUCAAAGUAACACCCAAAAGAAUCAACAUUUACUAUUAUCAUACACACCAUAUAUAUAUAUGUAUAUACAAAAGCAUAUCUCUUAAUGUAGAUUAUAUACAUGUAUGUGAGUGCAUAUAUCAAAUAGCAUUUUACAUUGUCAUACGAAAGGCUUCCUAUCUGUUUGUAAUCCCAGUUCUUUCAAUCGGUGAGGAAUCAAAAUUAAUAAAUAUUAAGAAAUUGGAAGAAUCUGAAAAUUUUCAGAAAGUAACAAUCUUUCUAAAAUCCUUUUAUUGAAUAUAUUGAAAAAGUUGAAAAUGAUUGUUAUUGGCCUUCAGAUUUCAUUGUUAUUUCGGUAUUAAUAUUGCUGUUAUAUUUUAUUGUUUUCGUUAUAUUGUUUUUGUGAUAGUUAAGCAAUUAUUCUUUCAAAAAAAAAAAAAAAGAAACACUUAUGGAGGGGAAAAUAAAACGAAA